ACGGCCAUAUCACGUUGAAACACCGGUUCCCGUACUAUCAGCGAAGUUAAGCAACGUAGAGCAUGGUCAGCACCUAGAUGGGUGCCCGUUUGAAUAUACCAAUUGCUGUCA